rnacentral:lncRNA from 1 species
CUCACCUAAAAGGCAACCAAAGUAAGUUCAGUCAAUAAGAACCAACAAUACUGUGUGUGGCUUUGCUUAUCACCGAUGACUCAUUUCCUCCAGUAUUAACUAUGGGAAUUCAAAGCUUCUCUGUUAGCCCAAUUUUCUACUCUAAACCAUGACCCCUGUCCACAAUAUUUGAGGAGUGUCUGACUUCUACUUAGAAGACCUGAACACCCCUCUCUCCUUCUGGAUACAUUUCUGUUUACCCAUACUAAAGUACAGCACUGCAACUCUAAUCUGGCUAAAAUGGACUGAUCAUUUCCCUCAUUCCAGAAAUCUUUUUUAUUAAAUAAUAAUGUUGACAGCAAUAGGUCUUGCACAUACUGCAUGGAUGUACCUGUUAUCUGUCUCCUACUUUGUACUUAAUUUGUGUUGUUUUGUUACAGGGGCCUAAGAUCAGGGCUGUCACCAUUUCAUUAGAUUUCUAGAUCCCCUCUUCUGGCAUUAUUUGCUAUCUUUAGCUGUUUUUCACCCAUGAAUAUAAUCACCCAAUCUAUUUUCUUAUCAUAGUACUUGAUUAAAAACUGAGUAAGGCAAAUGCAAUAUGAAAAUCCUUCAACAUUAAUCUGAACCACCUACCACCACUCAACAUCUCCAACAAAACUAUACCAAAAUUACUCAGUCUACUCUACUCCCUUAAUUAUUAUACUUAGUCAUUCCAUUUUUUAUUAAUAUCCUAUUUUAUCCCAUUUUAGAACCCAGACUUCCCUAAUAGUACUGGUGUCAAAUUGCAAAGCAAAAGAUUUUUUUUUUUGGUCCCCAUUUUGAAUCUUUCCUGGCUUCAACUCACAUGUACUACAUCUAGUUUUUCCUCUACAAACAGUUGCAUUCUCUUACCUGUGUUCAGGUCCACACCCACGAGCUGACCUGAUUCUGAAUGUUCUGCUUAAAUUUUAACUAAUGUUUCCUGAAGGUCAAAACCAGAAUUCUGAGCAAGAACCUAAAGUAAACAAAUUUAAUUCCUGAGAAAACAGGAAGAAUUGAUAUU